rnacentral:rRNA from 1 species
UGUGACUGCGUACCUUUUGUAUAAUGGGUCAGCGACUUAUAUUCUGUAGCAAGGUUAACCGAAUAGGGGAGCCGGAGGGAAACCGAGUCUUAAUUGGGCGUUAAGUUGCAGGGUAUAGACCCGAAACCCGGUGAUCUAGCCAUGGGCAGGUUGAAGGUUGGGUAACACUAACUGGAGGACCGAACCGACUAAUGUUGAAAAAUUAGCGGAUGACCUGUGGCUGGGGGUGAAAGGCCAAUCAAACCGGGAGAUAGCUGGUUCUCCCCGAAAGCUAUUUAGGUAGCGCCUCGUGAAUUCAUCUCCGGGGGUAGAGCACUGUUUCGGCUAGGGGGCCAUCCCGGCUUACCAACCCGAUGCAAACUGCGAAUACCGGAGAAUGUUAUCACGGGAGACACACGGCGGGUGCUAACGUCCGUCGUGAAGAGGGAAACAACCCAGACCGCCAGCUAAGGUCCCAAAGUCAUGGUUAAGUGGGAAACGAUGUGGGAAGGCCCAGACAGCCAGGAUGUUGGCUUAGAAGCAGCCAUCAUUUAAAGAAAGCGUAAUAGCUCACUGGUCGAGUCGGCCUGCGCGGAAGAUGUAACGGGGCUAAACCAUGCACCGAAGCUGCGGCAGCGACAC